rnacentral:antisense_RNA from 1 species
AAUUAUGGUGGGCGGGACGGAGCAACCGUAAAGGUUGGCCGGGUUCUACAAUGGCCGGUAGCUCCAAACUCCGUUCAGCUCACCGCCAAU